CAGAGCUGGGGGAGGAAAGAGCAAACAUGAGAGGCUAGGCCUGUCUCACAGCUACUAGAAUGCCAAAGUUACAAGUUCCCACUUGCUUGCCCUCUGCCCACCAAGAAAAUGAGAGAGAGAUUCAAGUCUGAGACAGGGAUGCUGAAGGCCGUUCUAGUGACUGAGAUCCACAUGUUACCUCAAGGACAAUGAAGGCUUUCCUCAAGCCAGGUAGCAUAGAAGGCCUGCAUAAUUUGCACAGCCCCAGCCUAAAAUAAAGCCUUUCCAGGGCUAGGCCAUUUAACUCUCUCCUGCAGCAAAUAUAACACAUUCCGAAGUCUACCUGGUUCUUUUCCCAAAGGCCAAAUUUACAAAAAGCUCCACAGCCCAAACUGGGGCUUUGCAGACGCCACUUCAUGGAGCAAGCCUUGCACCAACAAAUGCGACAGAGUUACAAGAAACAAUAAGAGACAAAAUUUACAGGGGGCAGGCCCAGCGCUCCACUACCAGCACAUAAAUGUGCCCUUCCAUAGAGACACAGCAGUGCACAAAGCUGAAUGCCCAAUAAUAAUUGCCAAAUAAUAGAACUGAAAAUUAGUACAUAAAAUUAGUAGUCAAGUCCACAAGUAGGCAAGUAGUUGAACCAUUUUUGGCAUAACCAUAUAAUGGAAUGCCAAGUGGCUAACAAAAAUGAAGUUGGGCAACAUUAACUGACAAGCAAAGAUGCUAACUAAUGGAUCCUCUGAGAACACUGAGCAAAAAGAAGUCAAACUCACUCACUGACACACAGGCUAAAACAAAACAAAACAAAAAAAUUGGAAGAAAACACAUCUAAGUGUUUGCAGUGUUGUCAUUUAACCAGUUCUUGAGCUCACUGUUAAGAAGUAUUUUAUAAAGGAGUAUGUAAAGUGCCUACUGCAUUACAAACAUUUAGUUCUAAGUAAUGUGUAAGUGAAAUAAUUAUGAAUGUUGAUUAAUACGAUGUAAGAGGCAACCUUUCCUUAUUAUGACCACUUUCAUAAGCUUUAUUUGUGUUAACUGCACGAUAUCCUAUUUACACAGGAUAGUCUGUGUUUCACUCAAGUGUUUCCCCAUUGCUGGACACAGAAUUUGAACAAGGUCAUAUAAAAUGUUCCCAAAUGUAAAUUCUUCUAAACUAGCUGUUCUAAAUCCUCUGGGGUCUUGUGACUCUCUGAAAAUGUCACGAAACAAGAUUUCCUUUCAGAUUAAAAAAACAAAAACA